rnacentral:rRNA from 1 species
UACGGAGGGUGCAAGCGUUAUCCGGAUUUACUGGGUUUAAAGGGUGCGUAGGUGGGUUGGGAAGUCAGUGGUGAAAUACUUUCGCUUAACGAAGGAACUGCCAUUGAUACUAUCAAUCUUGAAUGUAGUGGAGGUAGUCGGAAUGCGUCAUGUAGCGGUGAAAUGCUUAGAUAUGACGCAGAACACCAAUUGCGAAGGCAGCUUGCUACACUACUAUUGACACUGAGGCACGAAAGCGUGGGGAUCAAACAGG